UCCUCAAGGCUGUUUGAUUCUCUUCUCC
rnacentral:piRNA from 1 species